rfam:Oryza sativa (indica cultivar-group) chromosome 5, whole genome shotgun sequence.
AAUAAAUAUAGUUCUGCACUUUUCAUAUCCAUCAUUUGACUAUUCUUCAUAUUUGAAAAUUAUUUAUGAUUAGUAUUUUAUUGUUAUUAGAUGAUAAAAGAUGAAUAAUACUUUAUAUGUGACUAAUUGUUUUUAUUUUUUCAUAAAUUUUUCAAAUAAGAAGAACGGUCAAACAUUAGAUACGGAUACUCACAGCUGCACUUACU